rnacentral:rRNA from 1 species
AGUCACGCGGUCAUGCCCAAUAUUCAGAAGCUAAGCAGAGUCAGGUCUGGUUAAUAUCUGAAUGGGAGACCAUCAGAGAAUUCCAGGUGCUGUGACUA